rnacentral:rRNA from 1 species
GAUGAACGCUAGCUACAGGCUUAACACAUGCAAGUCGAGGGGUAACGAGAGGAAAGCUUGCUUUCCUUGUCGACGACCGGCGCACGGGUGAGUAACGCGUAUCCAACCUGCCCCCAACUAGGGAAUAACCUUGCGAAAGUAAGACUAAUACCCUAUAAUUUCCUCAGAUGUCAUCUGACGAGGAAUAAAGAUUUAUCGGUUGUGGAGGGGGAUGCGUCUGAUUAGCUUGUUGGCGGGGUAACGGCCCACCAAGGCAACGAUCAGUAGGGGUUCUGAGAGGAAGGUCCCCCACAUUGGAACUGAGACACGGUCCAAACUCCUACGGGAAGCAGCAGUGAGGAAUAUUGGUCAAUGGGCGGAAGCCUGAACCAGCCAAGUAGCGUGCAGGAUGACGGCCCUAUGGGUUGUAAACUGCUUUUAUACAGGAAUAAAGUUAGCCACGUGUGGUUAUUUGUAGGUACUGUACGAAUAAGGACCGGCUAAUUCCGUGCCAGCCGCCGCAGUAA